AGUGGACGCUGGCGGUAGGCCUAACACAUGCAAGUCGAACGGCAGCACAGUAAGAGCUUGCUCUUACGGGUGGCGAGUGGCGGACGGGUGAGGAAUACAUCGGAAUCUACUUUUUCGUGGGGGAUAACGUAGGGAAACUUACGCUAAUACCGCAUACGACCUACGGGUGAAAGCAGGGGAUCUUCGGACCUUGCGCGAUUGAAUGAGCCGAUGUCGGAUUAGCUAGUUGGCGGGGUAAAGGCCCACCAAGGCGACGAUCCGUAGCUGGUCUGAGAGGAUGAUCGGCCACACUGAACCGGAGACACGGUCCAGACUCCUACGGGAGGCAGAAGGGGGGAAUAUUGGACAAGGGGCGCAAGCCUGGCCCAGCCAUACCGCGUGGGUGAAGAAGGCCUUCGGGUUGUAAAGCCCUUUUGUUGGGAAAGAAAAGCAGCAGGUUAAUACCCCGCUGUUCUGACGGUACCAAAAGAAUAAGCACCGGCUAACUUCGU
rnacentral:rRNA from 1 species